rnacentral:rRNA from 1 species
GCAUCUCCCUUACACCGAGAAGUUGUCAGUGCAAAUCAGACCUGUUUGAGCCUAAAAACUAGCCCACCCACCACAACAAUAAGAUCUUACUAAACCCCCCACAAGAACUAAGAACAACAAACAAAUCAUUUUUCCACCCCAGUAUGGGAGACAGAAAAGGAACAAGGAGCAAUAGACAGAGUACCGCAAGGGAAAGUUGAAAGAGAAAUGAAAAAACUCAUCUAAGCCAAUGAAAGCAGAGACUAGAACUCGUACCUUUUGCAUCAUGAUUUAGUUAGAAGCCCUCAGGCAAAGUGCCCUGUAGUCUGGGCCCCCGAAACUGAAGCGAGCUACUCCAAGAUAGCCUGUAAUUUAGGGCAAACCCGUCUCUGUGGCAAAAGAGUGGGAAAAUCUUCAAGUAGAGGUGACAAGCCUACCGAGCUCAGUUAUAGCUGGUUGCCUGGAAAAUGAAUAUAAGUUCAGCCCCUCGGCCCCCCACCCCAAGCGGGAAUAACCCCGCCAGGCCCCGGAGGAGCCAAGGGAGUUAGUCAAAAGAGGUACAGCUCUUUUGAAAAAGAUACAACUU